rnacentral:lncRNA from 1 species
AACUUCUUCUUCUCAGCCACUUGGUGGGGAGGGGAGGGGGGGGGGGGGGGGGGCAACCCUAACAGAAAAGGGAGGGUCGAUUGCGAGAGAGAGAUAGUGAGAUCGACUCAUAAGAGAGCAAGCCGAAUGAGUACAAGAUUCUAGAGAGGAAGUAGGAGAGGAAGUAGGAUCUUAAAAUAGCUAGUUUGAUCUAGAGAAGAAUGGGUAGAAAGGGUACGAAGAUCUAAAGAGGAACCGAUGGCAUUGUGUUAUGACGUCGCCAAAGAGGACUUGAGAGAGAACCGACAUUAUAACUAAACAUCCACGUGGUGAUAGGAGGUAAGACAAAUUUGGGUUUCAGACACGAAAAUAGAGAUCUAUAUUUUUAAAUUCCUUCUUUCGAAGGAUGUAUGCAUUAUUGGGG